CGUUGUUCGGAAUUAUUGGGCGUAAAGGGCGCGUAGGCGGUUUGACAAGUCUGAUGUGAAAUCUAUGGGCUCAACCCAUAGCCUGCAUUAGAAACUGUCGGGCUUGAGUAUGGGAGAGGUGAGUGGAAUUUCCGGUGUAGCGGUGAAAUGCGUAGAUAUCGGAAGGAACACCUGUGGCGAAAGCGGCUCACUGGACCAUAACUGACGCUGAGGCACGAAAGCGUGGGGAUCAAACAGG
rnacentral:rRNA from 1 species